CUCAGUUCGGAUCGCAGGCUGCAACCCGCCUGCGUGAAGUUGGAAUUGCUAGUAAUCGCGGAUCAGCAUGCCGCGGUGAAUACGUUCCCGGGCCUUGUACACACCGCCCGUCACACCAUGGGAGUUUGUAACGCCCAAAGUCGGUGGCCUAACCUUUAUGGAGGGAGCCGCCUAAGGCGGGACAGAUGACUGGGGUGAAGUCGUAACAAGGUAAC
rnacentral:rRNA from 1 species